rnacentral:rRNA from 1 species
UACAGAGGUCCCAAGCGUUGUUCGGAUUCACUGGGCGUAAAGGGUGCGUAGGUGGCUUGGUAAGUUUGAUGUGAAAUCUCCGGGCUUAACCCGGAAAUGGCAUUGAAUACUAUUGAGCUGGAGGUUUGGAGGGGGGACUGGAAUUCUCGGUGUAGCAGUGAAAUGCGUAGAUAUCUGGAGGAACACCGGUGGCGAAGGCGGCAUCCUGGACCGGCAUUGACGCUGAGGAGCGAAAGCCAGGGGAGCAAACGGG